ACUUCAACAGAACUGCGACCAUCAUCUGGACCAACAGUGCUCUGUGCCACUGAGCUUCUAACAUGCUUAAACGUGUACAGGCCCUCUGACUCUUCUGGAUUCCAGGAAAGACCCAUUUACCUGUGCAGACUUUAAGUGUAAUGAGGAGCCAGUCACGACUCUUAUUGUGGCCAUUGGAGACUUUUGUGUCUGAAUGAGGCCUUUGGGCAAGGAUGUUAUUUAAUCACUCAAAGUAUCUCACAGGAAGCCUUAAUGCUUUCCAUAUUUUAUACCAAGGAGUGAGCUGAUCCUGAGAACUCAGAUAUAUGUGUGCAACUACUUGAAGAUACCUGUUUUGUGUUGGUUUAUGAUGUUUUGGAAAGACUAGGUUCAAACCAUGAUGUUAAGAGGUAAUGAUGUCGACAGUUAAUGAUGUCUUGAUUGAAAACAAGGUCUUUCAGCCAAGAGUGGGAAAUAUUUGAAACAUGAACCCAGAUUUACCAAGUCACACAGUGAAGAAACCUUUUUAUUUUGUGUUGUAUGCAUAAAACAUCUUAAACAACUAAUGUUGCCUUUUUUUUUAAAUACCUCUAAUAGUAGUUAGAAAUAGAGGAGAAAAAAUCUGUCACUUUCAGAAGGCUUGAGACCUAAAUGAGUGACAAAUGAUCUUAGUAGAUAUUAUAAAAGAAUAAUUAAUGGUGCAAUAAGCUGAAAUGAAUAUGCAUGUCAGGCUGCAAAUACAUUCAUGGAACCUUCUUUUAUCUUCAGGAACAUCUUUCAUGCUGUUCUGAAUAUGGAUGAUGAUUACUUUGAUCAAUCUAUUUUGUUGAAAUUUAAGCAGUGCCUUUUCUUUUUAAAUAUGCAGUAUAAUCACUAAAUUAUACUUUUUUUGCUUUUAAGAGUGUAAGGAUCCUUAUGAAUCUCAUUUCUACACAUGCCAUAAUUAUAUUCUGGAGAUCAAAGAUUGUGAUCAUUAGUUAAAAGCCUUUAAGACUUUCUGAAUUCCAGAGAAUGCAAACAGUAAAUGAAGAAGUGUUGGUAGUUGUUCAUGGAUUCUUGGCAUUACAAUACAUUGUCCUGGACUUAUAUUGCUGUAGAUAUCUACUGAAUUGUAAAUUAUGUAUAUGAUUUAAUACUACUUAAUGGCAGAUUGAAAAGAUGAACAAUUGUGCCGAUAGAAAAUUGUACUGUACAUAUUGAUCUCUUAGAAGCCCACAUGGGAAACCUGCUAAUAUUUUAUUUUCUCUCUGCAAUUUAGAAACCAAAUUUUGAGUAUCUAUUUUACAUCAUGGUGACUUUGCAAUACCAGCAAGUGUAUUACCCAUCUGUGCUUUUUUUUUUUUGUGCUCAUGCUUUUCUUUCCAGCUGUCAUAGAAGAAUGUGUUCCUGUUCUUAUAUGCCCUGCAGUAAUCUGUUAACAACAAAGCCAAAAAUUAUGCCUGCCAUUGGUUUACUAUGUUGUGUGAAAGUAGUUGUUGAUAGCAUAUACACCUGCUGCAUAAAAUUACUUUUUUUUUU